rnacentral:antisense_RNA from 1 species
CUUCACCGAGCUCAGCAACAGCGGCCGUUCGCGAUCCUGACCGUAGGUCGCCAGCAGCGCCUGUGCCUC